rnacentral:rRNA from 1 species
CAGUAGCCGCGGUAAUACCGAGGGUGCGAGCGUUAAUCGGAUUUACUGGGCGUAAAGCGUGCGUAGGCGGCUUUUUAAGUCGGAUGUGAAAUCCCUGAGCUUAACUUAGGAAUUGCAUUCGAUACUGGGAAGCUAGAGUAUGGGAGAGGAUGGUAGAAUUCCAGGUGUAGCGGUGAAAUGCGUAGAGAUCUGGAGGAAUACCGAUGGCGAAGGCAGCCAUCUGGCCUAAUACUGACGCUGAGGUACGAAAGCAUGGGGAGCAAACAGGAUUAGAUACCCGCGUAGUCCCUGUCUCUUAUUC